UACGGGGGGGGCAAGCGUUGUUCGGAAUUACUGGGCGUAAAGGGCUCGUAGGUGGCCAACUAAGUCAGACGUGAAAUCCCUCGGCUUAACCGGGGAACUGCGUCUGAUACUGGAUGGCUUGAGUUCGGGAGAGGGAUGCGGAAUUCCAGGUGUAGCGGUGAAAUGCGCAGAUAUCAGGAGGAACACCGGUGGCGAAGGCGGGUCUCUGGGCAACAACUGACGCUGAGGAGCGAAAGCGUGGGGGGCGAACAGG
rnacentral:rRNA from 1 species